GUUACCAAGCAACGUCUUUCCCAUCAAGUUGGGCACUUGAAAAUCGUUAUGUGUUUACUAAUUCUCAGGAGGGAUUUUGGUCUCCCUCCCAGCUCUUGGUGUUUGCUCCUCUAGAAUUUGUGAGGAAGCUGAAGGGCUGUCGUAGUCUGAAUCUUCCAGUCCUCCUGGGUUAGAUCCUCUUUGGAUCAAGAAAAGACAGUCUCUCCCUGGAUGAGCAUGAAGUGUGGAUGAGGAACCACAGGGGAAAUUCCAGCACACAACAGUAAAGCAGCCUGAUGUGAGUACUUCUUCUCCCACCAGUUCUAUCAUAAAAUAAAAGAGAAUAAAUAGAGACA
rnacentral:lncRNA from 1 species